ensembl:lncRNA
GAGGAUGCCCAGUGGUAGCAGUGCCGAGAUGAUGACAUGGCGAUGUGACCCCGAUACGGCCAGGGCAGUUUCUGCGAGAGGCGUCGGGGAGUCGCUCUCCUUCCAGGCUCAGAGGCAGGCAGGCAUUGGUAUUUUUCUUCCUGCUCCUCCACUCUGUCUUCACACUCCAGUGGACACUCUGAAGAGGACAUGGAGCUAAAGUGUCAGUCUCUCCCUCUCUCCCUGUGCUCUGUCGCUCUCUCUCACCCCAAGGUGCAGCGUGCUCAUCUUCCUAAACCCAGUAGAAGCUUUCAGCCAACGAUAUGCACACCAACCCAAACCUGUUACAACCUGAAGCCACAAACACCAGAAAAACGUCUGGUUCAGACGUCCGCGGCAUCAGGACCAAAGAGGCUCCGACUCACAGGAUUACCAUACAAAUGCAGAACCCCAGCGGCACCAACAGCUUUUUUAAGCCUAACAAAUCUACAAGACACCCGGUACCCGCUAAGUCCUACAGCGGAGGAACACACCGCCUCUGAUCCACACAAUCCCAUCUCACUCAGGGUCCCGACACUUUCAUGUACUGAGCAAAAAAAAAAAAAAAAAAAAACCACGGCCCCUCACUGGGGAGAGCUUUGUGGUGCACCCAGGUAUACUGCUGCUGCCAGGACAUGAAACGCAUGUUUCAUGUGUGUGUGUGUGUGUGUGUGUGUCUGUGUGUAGCAUGCCUGAAUGGCUGUAACCAUACAAUGGAAAAAAAGUAGCACAGUUAAUAUUGCUCUCUUUCUAAAAGACUAAAUUAUUGAAGAUUUCAGCGAGAGAUGCACAAAAGUGCCACACCUCAUAUGGUCGACACAGACCCACAAAGAACCAACGUCUGCAGCUCCUGCCUUCCAGCUUGUUUUGUUUUUUCCUGGACAUUUAAGAGCAUAAGAUCCCUCUCCCUGCUUCGUCUGUGCAGCAACUCUUGACGCCCCAAACCACCACCCCCCCUCCACAAACUCCCCCAUCCAUCCUGCUCACCUCUGGGCUGCUGGGAGACUUAUCAAAAGUGUCCCAGCCUCCGUGAAAAGAUGGCACGUCUGAUUCGCCCUGAUAAAAUAAGAACCAUGUUAGUGCUUGUGGGGCACCCGUGGUGCAUCGAUCACUGAGGGGUGGGAGAGAAAAGGAGCGGGCAGGGGAGGAAAAUUGGAUGACGGGCGCGGCGGAUGAGAAAUAAGGAUUUUUGUGCUCAUUUCCACAGAGAGGCAGGAGCCGUCAGAAUCACUGAAUAACCAAAGAGAAGCGAUUCAUUUUCCUCAGAUGAGCACUAUCCUGCCACCCCUUGUGCUCCCCCAUAAUUUCUCUCAAUCUCUCUCACCCCCUGUGUGUCUGAUGAUUUAUGUGCAGCUCACAGCUCAGUUAAACACGGCAGCAUGAAACACAUGCAUGCACGCGCACACUCGCAAAUACACACACACGGCUCCUUGUCAGGUAAUAACAACCUAACACAUCCACCGUGAAUGUGUAACUGCGCCUGUGUAUCUUUAAACCUAACAUCCAUGAAAAAAAAUAAUAAAAUAUGAGCACCAGGAAAUGUCCCUGCUUUUAAACGUCCCUACUAGAAAAACACGCACACUUUCUUGCACAGCUGGAGACAAGUUGUGUGUCCCAAUUUCCUCCACAGUACACAAUACAGAAUAGUGAAUAAAUGGUACUUUAACCCAACAUUCGCUGUUGUCGCUGGGUGGGGCAGCCAUCUUGGACUUGAAGUCCAUCUGACUGAUAUCAAUCUGUCAUCAGCGGCUUUUCCAAAUGGACUUUCUGAUGGGAAACAUUCUGACUUUCCAAGUCCAAUGGAACAUCUGAAAUUUGAGGACACCUCUGUAAUCAUAAUUUAUUUAAAUAAUGAAAGUGUUAUGCCUUACUUGACAAGAGCAGACUUUUUUGCGCAUUUAGUCAUCAUUUACAUAAAAUACAUUACCUAAAAAAUUUGAUGAUUAUGAAAUUAGGUUUUGCCUAUUAUGAAAAACUGUGUUACUAUUCUAUGCAAUUCUGCAUGGAAAAAGGUUUUAAAUGUAAAGGUUUUUGAAUACACCUUACCCCAUAUUUCACCCAAAUUACUAAAUGUAAUCAUUUGUCCUCUGCUUGCUCUAAAGAUAAACCGAGGGGUGUGUGAAAUGUCAUCACUAACCUUAAGGGGACUGUGUCCCCAUAAUACAGCACACACAUACACACAAUGACCCCCUAACAGCCUUUGGUGAUGUAAAAUCAGUGCAUUAAUGUGUCACACCUUUAUGACGACAUCGUCUGUGUGUUUAAAUUGGCCUGAGUGAUGCACACGCUUCUCCCUUUAACCUCAUUAGUGUCAUCAGGCUGAUUAGUGCUGCACUCGGGGCAGGCGACCCUGAGAGGACUCCUUCUGAGCGUGUGUGUGUGUGUGUGUGUGUGACUUCUGUGCUGAGGACUAAAUUAAGUCAGAAUGACACACCAAUGUAAGAGCGUGUGAACUCAGAUGGAGGGGAGGGCGUCGGAGGAGGAGCAUCUGGGCGUCACGUGACCAAGGCCUCCUCUCCCUUUUAGUCUCCCUCCUUCUUUCUCCAUCCUUCUCCUGAUCUGUCCCUAUACCCCGCCUCACUCCCUCUUCUAUCCCUCUUUCUCUCCCUUCAUCUCUGACUCCUCGUCCUGGACACUGUUUGCUCUAUUGAUAACGCCUCUUGAUGGGGCCAAAAUCAGAGAAAUUAUUUUCCCCUGGACUGACACGGGCUGCUGAGGCCGUCUGUCUGCAGGCUGCAGGCUCAUGCCGGCGCACAUAAAUGAGCUGCGCUCGCCUCUCCAGCCACUCACGACGCACACGCAUUACUCCUCGUGCGAUGCACGCUCACCGUGAACAAAUGGAUGCGGGCAGAUCAGAGCAGCAAUAGAGACACUUAGAGAAAACAACACUGACACGUAUACUCACACGCCCGGCUUGACAGAGGAGCGAGAGGAGAAAAUACCUGUCUCAUUCAUUAUUGACUGUGACACACCAGCCAUUAUGUAGUUAGAAUGAGAUUCUUUUUUCCCUCUUCCCACAGGUCUGCAGUGCUCUACUUCUAACACUCCCUAGAAACACUAUAGACUCCUCUGUGAGCACCAGGGUCUUUUCAGAUGGAUUAUUUGCAUUGCAGAACAUUGCAGAAGUAUUGUGAAAUUGUGCUUUGUUCUGUUAGUUGAAUUCUGAAAUGCUAACUUUUCACGUAAAUGUUUUUUGCUUUUAGUUUAUUUUAAUAAUUAUGGCUACAUGAAUCAGGAAUGUUCACAAUACAGAUAUGUCCAACUGAAAACAAUCUACAUUUUUGCAGACAAUAUUUGGUUGAAUGUUUAUCUUUUUUAAUUCAAUUAUUACUGACUCUCGGCAAUCUUCUUACUUAACACUCUAGUAAGUCUAGUAUAAUUCAAGUAUAUUGACCUACAUAAUUAUGUUUUUAAUACAUCAGAUUCCCAGCAAGUCCCAAGAAGCAUUAAAUGGAACACCCUAAGAGAUCCAUGAGCAGGAUGCUGUCCAACACUUGGGCAGUGUUAGACAGCAGUCCAUGGUCAUGUAAAAACACCGUAUUGAAACCACUCCAACUUGAUGUUACCUGGCUGAAAGAGGCAUGGCACAAUAGAGGUUAAAAAUUUAUUAACACCGGUAAAUAAUUAUUGUAGUUACAUGUGAAUAUUGAAUGUAAAAAGGUACCAAGGUUACAGAGAAAACAAAAAUGAGAAGAAAGAGUAAAGGGGGAGAGAGAGAGAGAGAAAGAGGCAAAGCCAUGGGAAAUAAUGAGAUGAUAGAGCAGGCUCGAAAACCAGAAGAUCCGGUUUCGAUGGAAAGACAGCUGGGAAAGACCUGGCCUACAGGAAGUUGUCACAGACCAAUCAGAACCUGUUGUUUCUGAUGUCACGCCCCUCGGUGCCUCCCAUCUGGGGAAGACAAAGAGAGUGGGUCCUGACGGCCGACACCUCACACGUUGCCGUCCGACAAAAGGCAUGAAAAACAGAGGUGUUGAAUCUUCAUGCACAACAAUUGGCACAGGAAUGUCACAUUUCUUCUUUUAGACGGUCGCUAUGCAAAACAAAAGCAUGGUCCUGCGACACCCAAUCUUACAGUCAAGAUAAAGUUUCUUGGAGAAAUGAAGGUUGCUGAUCAUAAAAAGGUCUGAGGUUUGUGUCUUGCAUCUGGUUUUGACUCUUCAGUACAUGAUGUGAUGCUUGUGUCUGCAGCUAGAAUGAAAUGGUGGACAAAAAUGGGCUGGAGCCAUGAGUUGAGAAAUUGUGGGGGAAUGGGACACCUUCAGACCUUCUGCAUGGAGGUGUGACUGGAUAGAAGAUUGCUCUUCACACAGGACAAUCAUUUCCUGGAGAAAAAAAAUCUACACUAAUCCAAUAAUCUACCGUAGCAGAGACCUAAAGUCCAGAUGAGAACCAGUGGCAGGAAUUGAAAAUUGUUCUUCACCAACGGAACUCGUCAAAUCUGAUUGAGCUCAAAUUAUUUUGUAAAAGGAGAAAAUUACAGCACUAGCAGGACUUAACACACAAUUGGGUCUCAGAAAAUUACAAUAUUGGGAAAUAGGUGUUUAUUUAAACUAAUUGUAGAAAAAUUUUAUAGUGAUGAUUUGAAUAUCAAAUUAUUAAAAUAUCAAUAAAAAAGGAUUCACAAUAGUGUCACAAGUAUUUUCAUUUACACACUGAAUACUAAGUGUUGUAGGAUUCCCAUAUUGAAAACCCAGAAACAAAUAUACUUAUUGCCCAUAUUCUCAUUUUUUUAGAUGCACUAGUACUCUCAAUGGUAAAUCCUGCAAAGUUAAAUACAUUUAGUAAUAAAUUGAAAAAAUUCAAUUUUUGUGCAUUACACCAUAUUCCUUUAUUCAAUAUAAGAAAAUCCAAGGGGAUAAGUACUUUUUCAUCGGCAC